rnacentral:lncRNA from 1 species
CACGACUGUACAACCUUUAACAAGUCGAACAUAUCCGAGUUUCCUUAUUCUGACUAUCACUUGAACGCGGCAAUAAUACCACAAUGACACACGACUGUCCCAGCCAACACAUGAAACUACUUUCCUUCCGUGGUGACAUUCUCACAUUUCAAUACUAACGCUCCAUUCCCAGAGAUGGCGAAAGUCGAAAAGGAUCAGAUCUGGCUUUCAGCAGAGUGACAUUUCAACGGAUGGCUGCACUUUCUCAAACGGGAAUGGUGGUAAUAUGGCUGUUAUCAACAUAAAGAGUUAAUCUGAUGUUGAUAUGGUGGCAUGCAUCUUUGCCCUACAUGUGGGAAACAGUGACUUCACCAUGCAUUUUAUUGAUAGGUAGGGGGAUGACUUCAAGUACAGGCUUCUCACUCUGAGCAGGUCAAAUAGAUAAGAGCUACAUAUGGAGUUUAAACUACCAUACCGGAUGAAAGAUAAUGUUACUGUCUUGCAGGACCCUACUGUAAUAUGGAGCCAUGAAGGUGUUGUCUUUUACAUUGCUCUACAAGCAGGUGAAGUUAGACAAAUGCCUAUCAAGCUCUCUCUGAACUUUAUUGGUAAGGAUCCCCUCAACAAAGGAAAAUAUUCAUACUAGAUUCCCAAACACUAUCCAAAGAAUGCCUGAAUGAUCAGUCGGACUCUCCAGGGAGGAGCAAAACCCUGGGGUAUUUUGUAGAGGAAGGACAAGUAUUUAACGGUGCUCUGAUCUUACCUCAUGCCUAUAGUUCCAUCACACCGUGUAUAUUUGUGAUCUCAGCUGAAGAGGUGAACAGUGUGUCGAAAUCAACUGUAGUGGUGGUGACCAGUAAAAAGCAGUUGAUGUAUUUGAAAGGUAUGCCAGGUUUCCUUUUGAAGAACCUCACCACAUUCAGAUGGUCAACACUGGAUGGAAUGGAUGUCUGUUUGCCAUCUCUUUCAACCAUGGACAUGUCUGUGCGGUAUGGAAAGAUACUUUUCAGAUGUGAGCUCCCUCCAUGUGGAUGACGUUGUGGGCUGUGGAACAGAUCAGAUACUGCUGGUCUUUGGAAGCCAGAGCCCUCCAGUGGGUCCAGUGGAUCAAUACCUCAUCACAGAUCUCUGCGGGACAACCUAUUCUGAGAGAUGCUCAUGAACAGGAGAGCAGUGAAGGACGGAACACAUCUGACACAGCUCAGGAGAACUACCUCCUAACUGUCAAAACUCUACAGGCCAGACUACAGGUACAUUGUUACAUUAAAGAGAGCAGCAUCAAAGCUGUUAUUAGUAUUUGGGUACUAAUGAGAACGUGCCAAUUAUUAAACGGUUGUAAUGUUUGGAGUCUAUUGUCCAGAUGCAACGAUAUUAGAGUUUAUCCAACAUGUUGUUGUUGAUACACCCCCCCCCCGAUGUGUUUCAAUAGAGUGGCCUGACCUUGCUCCAUGUUCUUCAGAGAGAUGUAAGGGUGACAGAGAGGGUUCUACACCAGUCAGUCCAAGCCCGAACAAGUAGAUCUACAGUUGAAGACAGAAGUUUACAUACACUUAGGUUGGAAUCAUUAAAACUCGUCUUUCAACCACUCCACAAAUUUCUUGUUAACAAACUAUAGCUUUGGCAAGUCGGUUAGGACAUCUACUUAGUGCAUGACACAAGUCAUUUUUCCAACAAUUGUU